CACGUGAGCAAUCUGCCGGGAAGUGGGGGAAACUCGCCGAAAGGCGAAUUAAUACCGCAUAUGGCCAGGGGGGACAUCCCUCCGAAGCCAAAGUCGCAAGACGCUUCCUGAUGAGCUCGCGGCCUAUCAGCUAGUUGGUGAGGUAAUGGCUCACCAAGGCUAUGACGGGUAGCUGGUCUGAGAGGACGACCAGCCACACUGGAACUGAGACACGGUCCAGACACCUACGGGUGGCAGCAGUCGAGAAUUUUUCACAAUGGGGGAAACCCUGAUGGAGCGACGCCGCGUGGAGGAUGAAGGUUUUCGGAUUGUAAACUCCUGUCAAAUGGGAACAAGAAAGUGAUAGUACCAUUAGAGGAAGAGACGGCUGACUCUGUGCCAGCAGCCGCGGUAAUACAGAGGUCUCAAGCGUUGUUCGGAUUCAUUGAGCGUAAAGGGUGCGCAGGCUGUGGGGUAAGUCGGAUGUGAAAUUUAGGGGCUCAACCUCUAAACUGCAUUCGAUACUGCUCCGCUAGAGGUAUGUAGAGGAGAUUGGAAUUCACGGUGUAGCAGUGAAAUGCGUAGAUAUCGUGAGGAAGACCAGUGGCGAAGGCGAAUCUCUGGGCAUUACCUGACGCUCAUGCACGAAGGCCAGGGGAGCAAACGGGAUUAGAUACCCCGGUAGUCCUGGCAGUAAACGGUGCACGUUUGGUGUGGG
rnacentral:rRNA from 1 species